GUGUAGCAGUCGAGAAACUUUACAAUGUGCGAAAGCACGAUAAGGGAACUCUGAGUGCCUCCUAAGGAGGCUUGUUCAGGUGUCUAAAAGCACCUGAAGGAAGGGCUGGGUAAGACCGGUGCCAGCCGCCGCGGUAACACCGGCAGCCCAAGUGGUAGCCCACGUUUAUGGGUCUAAAGCGUCCGUAGCCGGCUGGGUAAGUUCCUUGGGAAAUUUGGCUGCUUAACAGUCAAGCUUUCA
rnacentral:rRNA from 1 species